GGAGCGGCAGGCAGGUGCUCCCUGGAUUCACCCUCUGACAGCCUCCGAGGGGCACCUGGGACCGGGAAUCGGCGCAGGCCCUUGGAUCCGACUGCCGUAGCCACUGGUGCCAGGAGUGGCCCCAGCACCGCCCACAGCCCCCGGAGGGGCCCAGGGCAGCGGGCCUGCCGUCUGUCGGCCCAAGGCCGUCGUGGAUGGAGAGCGAUUGGAGUUUUCAGACCCGAGUCCCUGACUUCAGUCGUCUCUGGGCGCCCGCAUCUUCCUGCCUGUCCUCAAGGCGCCCAGUGGAGGAGCCCGACCAUCGCCACACCUGGCCGUGUCCCUCACCCUCGGGCAUGGGCGUGAUUCUUUGUGUUCUACAGAUGAGGAGCCCAACACCCAGACUGCUAGUGCUUGAGGUCAUCCACCCGCAAAACGUCAGGCCUGACCUCAGCCGUGCUCGGCCGCCCGGGAGAACCUAGGUGUCCGCGAGGAACGAGCUUCAGCCUGUCCCAGCCCUGCCCGGCCCUCCGUGGAGUCACCGUGGACACGCCCCCGGCCUGGCGCCCCCUGUCCUCUCCGGGGCGUGGGGUGUGGCCUCCUCUGAGAGGCUCAUAAAGUGACUGCUGAACCCGGUGGUCGGCUGGUGCAGCCGUUGCCAUGGAAAAGCUCGGGGCGCGGGGGCUGUCUGGCAGCCUGACCCCCCUGCGGCCAGGCCGGGCUGCUGGCCCAGCCCCCAGGGCGUGCGUGCGGCAGGGAACCCGCUCCGGCCAGGAGCCUCCCCUGGGAGGGGCAGGUGGGGCUCCAUCCCUGCGUUUGUUGGGGGCACGGUAGUCUCUUUGUGGGGGACAGGGGCUCUUUCUGCCUGCUGCCUCCCUCCCGCAUUUGCUAAAGGCCCCUCAGCCUGCUUUGAGGAGCACCCCCACCCCCCGUAAGUACAGUCUCAGGGGCCCUACCCUCACCAUGGCCAAAGCCAGGUCUGGUAAGUCAGUGGGGGCCUGUGUCUCCCCCAUUCAUGACCUGGAUGGCCCAGGUACGGGCAGGUAACCUUAGUCAAGCCAGCAAUGCCCCCGGGUCAGUGCAAACAAUCAGGAAGGAACAGCUGAGCACAGAGCCAGGGAGAUCCAGACAUGUUGGCCCGGGCUGACCUCUGGAUUAAGCCAUACCUGAAGCCAGCCUCCCUGACAUUCCCAUAGUUGCCUGUGCUAGCUAACAUCGUUCCGUUUUCACUCACAUCUGAUGGGCUUGGGUUUUUCACUGAGUCCUUACGAAUGCCCUUUGGCUCCAAAAACAUCCGUGCAGGUGAGCUGUAUCCUGGAUCCACGCCCCGCCCCACCCCCCCUCCGCCGCCCAGUGAGACUCUGAAUAAGUCCCCCCCCCCGGGGGCCUUGGUCUCCUUUGCCAUGGGGACUGAUGCCACAACGCCCCUACUCUGAGUGUUCUCCACUUCCGGGCUGUCAGGACCUCGAAAGUCCUUCCUUGUGACGCCAGCCUCUCUCCACCUUAGAAAAGUGUCAGGACGCACAGAUGACCAAGGAGGGCUGAACACCUACCUGUUUAGCAGAAGUCUGAGCCUCCGGCCCCGCCGGGGCGAGAACAGUGCCGUCUCCGUACGUAACCCGCCGGGAAGUUCUUCGUGGUGACCACCCUCACGCUCCAUCUUGGCCCAGCUGUCUGCCCCGGAAUUCACUCCUCGCCUCGUCCCCACCCUGCCGUGGAGUUUCCCGGGCUGGCUUCUGCCUGGGCCCAGCCUGUGGGAGUCUCAGGUGGGGGACGGUCUGGGAGCCUGGCUAGGGGCUCUCCCACACCUCAGCACUUCCUCCUCUGGCGCGGGCAUCCCGAGGGGGAGCUCAAGGGACGGGGAAGGGGCUGCUCCAUAUCCAGUUUGCCCUGUUGGAGGAAAAUUCUACCACCGCCCCCAACUGCCUUAUGUGAGCCAAGUCCUCCGGUCUCCACAUCACGUGACAUCAAGAGAAGUGAUACUCUAGAGUAGGUGAGCCUGAGGCCAACAUACGGAUCCCCCAGCAAGGGCUCGUCCUAGCUCUCAUGUUUCCAACGUGCUCCUCUGACUCUCCCCCCGGGCGGUACAGCACUCUUACCUGACAUCUGGGCUGGAGGCCCGUGUGGAGGAGGAAUCAAGUUAUUCGAAUCAUUUGCUCCAGUUUCUUCACUUAGAAAACGAGGAUUAAAAAAAUUGAUGUA